UACGAAGGGUGCAAGCGUUAAUCGGAAUUACUGGGCGUAAAGCGUGCGUAGGCGGUUUGUUAAGUCUGUUGUGAAAUCCCCGGGCUCAACCUGGGAAUGGCAAUGGAUACUGGCAGGCUAGAGUGUGUCGGAGGAUGGUGGAAUUCCCGGUGUAGCGGUGAAAUGCGUAGAGAUCGGGAGGAACAUCAGUGGCGAAGGCGGCCAUCUGGGACAACACUGACGCUGAGGCACGAAAGCGUGGGGAGCAAACAGG
rnacentral:rRNA from 1 species